UAAGGAAUAUUGCUCAAUGGGAGAAAUCCUGAAGCGGCAACGCCGCGUGGAGGAUGAAGGGUCUAUGACUUGUAAACUCCUGUAAAGAAGGAAAAAAUUCCCAUUAGAUGGGAGAUGAUGGUACUUCUGGAGUAAGCCCCGGCUAACUACGUGCCAGCAGCCGCGGUAAUACGUAGGGGGCAAGCGUUGUCCGGAUUUACUGGGUGUAAAGGGUGCUCAGGCGGAUUUGUAAGUCAGAGGUGAAGUCUUACAGCUUAACUGUGAAACUGCCGUUGAUACUGCAAGCCUAGAGUAUGGAAGAGAGUGAUGGAAUAUCUGGUGUAGCUGUGAAAUGCGUAGAUAUCAGAUAGAACACCAAUGGCGAAGGCAGUCACUUGGUCCAUUACUGACGCUAAAGCACGAAAGCGUGGGUAGCAAACA
rnacentral:rRNA from 1 species